rnacentral:ncRNA from 2 species
ACUGGUUCGCGCUACUGGCGAGAAGAGAUGGCGUACCAUCGGGGAACGCGAACCCAAGAAUGCCGCUCGCCUGGGCACCCAUC